AUUGAACGCUGGCGGCAUGCUUUACACAUGCAAGUCGAACGGUAACGCGGGGCAACCUGGCGACGAGUGGCGAACGGGUGAGUAAUAUAUCGGAACGUGCCCAGUCGUGGGGGAUAACGUAGAGAAAUUUACGCUAAUACCGCAUACGAUCUAGAUGAAAGCGGGGGAUCGCAAGACCUCGCGCGAUUGGAGCGGCUGAUAUCAGAUUAGGUUGUUGGUGGGGUAAGAGCCCACCAAGCCGACGAUCUGUAGCUGGUUUGAGAGAACGACCAGCCACACUGGGACUGAGACACGGCCCAGACUCCUACGGGAGGCAGCAGUGGGGAAUUUUGGACAAUGGGCGCAAGCCUGAUCCAGCAAUGCCGCGUGCAGGAAGAAGGCCUUCGGGUUGUAAACUGCUUUUGUACGGAACGAAACAGCUCUUUCUAAUAAAGAGGGCUAAUGACGGUACCGUAAGAAUAAGCACCGGCUAACUACGUGCCAGCCGCCGCCGUAA
rnacentral:rRNA from 1 species